rnacentral:rRNA from 1 species
UACGAAGGGUGCAAGCGUUGCUCGGAAUUAUUGGGCGUAAAGGGUAGGUAGGUGGUUACGUAUGUCUGGGGUGAAAUCCCUGAGCUUAACUCAGGAAGUGCCUUGGAAACGGCGUAACUAGAGUGCUAUAGAGGUUCGUGGAAUUCCAGGUGUAGCGGUGAAAUUCGUAGAUAUUCGCAAGAACACCAGUGGCGAAGGCGGCUCACUGGCCCGGUACUGACGCUGAGGUGCGAAAGCGUGGGGAGCAAACAGG